CCAGACUCCUACGGGAGGCAGCAGUGGGGGAUAUUGCACAAUGGGGGCAACCCUGAUGCAGCGACGCCGCGUGAGCGAUGGAGUACUUCGGUAUGUAAAGCUCUGUCAGCAGGGAAGAGAAUGACGGUACCUGACCAAGAAGCCCCGGCUAACUACGUGCCAGCAGCCGCGGUAAUACGUAGGGGGCAAGCGUUAUCCGGAUUUACUGGGUGUAAAGGGAGCGUAGACGGCUGUGCAAGCCAGAUGUGAAAGCCCGGGGCUCAACCCCGGGACUGCAUUUGGAACUGCGUGGCUUGAGUGUCGGAGAGGCAGGCGGAAUUCCUGGUGUAGCGGUGAAAUGCGUAGAUAUCAGGAGGAACACCGGCGGCGAAGGCGGCCUGCUGGACCGCGACUGACGUUGAGGCUCGAAAGCGUGGGGAGCGAACAGGAUUAGAUACCCCUGUA
rnacentral:rRNA from 1 species